AAUUUGUCUUUGAGACUAAAGAGAUAACUGGAUUUGUAAUGAACAUUUUUAGAAAUUUUAUAUGUAGAGAACCAAAUGAAAUUAUAAAGCUGAUAUAAAUAUCAAUGUGCUAUAAAACCCCACAUUUUUCAUGUUCAUGUAUCAAAAUUGGAGCAUUUUAAGAAGCAAGAAGAGCUCUCUAAAUUAAUGCAUAUCUUGCUUUUCUACUUAUGUUCUGUAGAUUCUUUAAAAUAGUCCUCUGUAAAAGGAAUGAAAAGCAGGAAAGCAUGAAAACUGAAAAUUCAUUUUAUCCUUUAUAAAACUAUACCUUUUAUUUAGGUGGUAAACCCUUAUUGUUACACUAUGCACUCAGAAAAUGUACAGCAGUGACUAUUCUUAAAUGUAAAGAAUUUACCAGUGGUUUAAAUCUAAAAUGGUCAUCAAAGGAAGCUUUACAAAUUCUUUGCCUAAAACCUGUAAAGCAGGCAUUUUAAAACUGUGAUUCAUGGAUUAUCAGUGGAAUGGACUUAAGGAGUUCCAUAAAUGUACCGAAAUUAUCUUUUUUAAAAUGUGUGCAUUUUUCCCUUGAGGAUACAUAACCUUUUGUCAUAGUUCCAGAAGAAUCUAAAACUCAAAAAAUGGUUAAGAACCAGUGUUACAAAGUGCUGAUAAAGGCCCUGGUGGAUCCCAGUACAUGUACAGUUGAUCCUUGUUAUUUGUAGGGUUUGUGUUUGUGAGUUUACCUACUCACUAAAUUUUUGUUGUAAAUUCAAAACCAACACUCACAGCGCAGUCAUUCACAGACACAUGCGGGAUGACAGAAAGUUUGGUUCGCCUUGUAUGCACCUUCCUAGCUGAGGUUAAGGAAGGCCACUCUCUGCCUUCUUAUUUUAGCUGAAACAGUGUCUUUUACGAUGUGUGUUUAGUGCUGUGUUCUUCACAUGUUUGUUCUCUUUUUGGGUGAUUUUUCUGUUUAAAAUGACCCUCAAACAAAGUGCUGAUAUAUAGUCUCGUUUUUCUGAGCGCAAAAAGACUGUGAUAUGACCUGCAGAGUAAAUACCCAUGAUAGGCAAACUUUACUCAGGCAUGAGUCAAACAGUGCUGUCGAAGGUGAGUUCAAUGUUGAAGAAUAAAAUAUGAAGUUAUCAGUACUUGUGUAAAAGGUUAAAUAUAGGUAAAUAUAGAUGUAAAUAAAUAAAACAAGGUGUCUAUAAAGAGAAGCAUACAUUUUUAAAAGUUACAUAUUGGUGUCGAUUGGUUGACGAAAAUGUGGCAGAGGAUUACAGGAACCUAACCCUACAAUUUCUCCAGCAGCAAUGAUUCUGUAUUCACUAAUUCACUGUUUGUGUCAACUUCUUAAAACAUUAGAACUGCAGACCAGAGUCUUCUAUAGUUUGAUAAAGCCCUAGCCUAGCGGGGUUUUUGAAUUUUUAUUUAACUUAACGUUUCUGAAUUUCUUUUCGUAUGAACAUUUAGUAUAUAGAGGGUAUGUGGCAUUAUCUCUUAAUAAUGUCAUACAUCAGUUCUCUCCUGCCCCGGCUUAUGGAGUGUAUCUGGUAACGUGGUCUCUGGCUCGGAACAUCUCUUGCCAUCCUGGCCGGUCAAGGCCGUUGUAGGUUUUGGAAGAUGGCAAAGUUCAUGACACCUGUGAUCCAGGACAAUCCCUCAGGCUGGGGUCUCUGUGCCGUUCCCGAGCAGUUUCGGGAUAUGCCCUACCAGCCGUUCAGCAAAGGUGAUCGGCUAGGAAAGGUUGCAGACUGGACAGGAGCCACAUACCAAGAUAAGAGGUACACAAAUAGGUACUCCUCUCAAUUUGGUGGUGGAAGUCAAUAUGCUUGUUUCCAUAAGGAGAAUGAAACUAGCUUUCAACUGGUGGAUACUACAUGAACACAGAAGACUGCCUACCAGCGGAAUCGGAUGAGAUUUGCACAGCGGACCCAUCGCAGAGACAAAGAUUGGCAGAACAUGUUGCAGUUCAACCUCCAAGCCCUGCCUAAGAGUGCUAAGCAGAAGGAGAGAGAACACAUACGACUACAGAAAAAAUUCCAGAGCAAUUUGGGGUUAGACAAAAACGGGAUCAAAAAUCACAGAAACUUCAAGACUCUUCAGUUGAAGUUCAUAGUAACUGGGAAGUGAAAGAAGAAAUGGAUUCUCCUCAGUUGAUGAAGAUGCAUUAUCUGGAAGUGUCAGAGCCGCAGGACAUGGAGUGUUGUGGGGCCCUAGAAUACUAUGAUAAAGCGAUAAAGCCUUUGACCACAUGACCACGAGGAGCGAGAAGCCGCUGUGGAGCAUCAAGCGCAUCUUCCACACUGUCACCACCACAGAUAACCCUGUCAUCCUGAAGCUGGCAAAAACUCAGGGGAAUGUGUUUGCCACCGAUGCCAUCCUGGCCACACUAUGAGCUGUACCCGCUCAGUGUAUUCCUAGGAUAUUGUUGUCCAGAGAGUUGGGUCCAGGCUCUUCUUUGAUAAGAGGGACAACUCAGACUUUGACCUCCUGACAGUGAGUGAGACAGCCAGUGAGCCCCCUCAAGAUGAAGGUAAUUCCUUCAAUUCACCCCGCAGUCUGGCCAUGGAAGCAACCUACAUCAACCACAAUUUCUCCCAGCACAGUGCCUGAGAAUGGGGAAGGAAAGAUACAAUUUCCCCAACCCAAACCCAUUUGUGGAAGACGACAUGGAUAAGAAUGAGAUUGCAUCUGUUGCAUACCGGUAUUGCAGGUGGAAGCUGGGGGAUGAUAUUGACCUUAUUGUUCACUGUGAGCAUGAUGGUGUCAUGACUGGAGCCAAUGGGGAAGGGUCCUUCAUCAACAUGAAGACACUCAAUGAGUGGGAUUCCAGGCACUGUAACGGUGUUGACUGGCAUCAGAAGCUAGACUCUAAGCGAGGAGCCGUCAUUGCCACUGAGCUAAAGAACGACAGCUACAAGCUGGCCCGAUGGACCUGCUGUGCUUUGCUGGCUGGAUCUGAGUACCUCAAGCUCGGUUAUGUGUCUUGAUACCAUGUGAAAGACUCUUCAUGCCACGUCAUCCUGGGCACCUAGCAGUUCAAGCCCCAUGAGUUUGCCAGCCAGAUCAACCUACGUGUGGAGAAUGCCUGGGGCAUUCUGCGCUGUGUCAUCAACAUCUGCAUGAAGCUGGAGGAAGGCAAAUACCUCAUCCUCAAGGACCCCAACAAGCAGGUCAUCCGUAUCUACAGCCUGCCUGAUGGUACCUUUAGCUCUGAUGAAGAUGAGGAGGAGGAGGAGGAUGAAGAAGAGGAGGAAGAAGAGGAAGGAACUUAAACAGUGAUGUGGCACCCAGAAGGGCUUUUGGAGUGUUUUGACUAUUCUCCAACGUUUGACAGAUAAAACAAAGUAUAAAUCCAUUUAAAAAAAUAAUAAUAAUGUCACAUAUCAACUACUUCCAAUAUAACCAUGCUAAAUGUUAUUAUUUUAGUGGGCUUCAUAUUUAUUCUUUCUAGCUCUGUCAGAAUUCAC